AUUGAACGCUGGCGGCAGGCCUAACACAUGCAAGUCGAGCGGAUGAAGGGAGCUUGCUCCUGGAUUCAGCGGCGGACGGGUGAGUAAUGCCUAGGAAUCUGCCUGGUAGUGGGGGAUAACGUCCGGAAACGGGCGCUAAUACCGCAUACGUCCUGAGGGAGAAAGUGGGGGAUCUUCGGACCUCACGCUAUCAGAUGAGCCUAGGUCGGAUUAGCUAGUUGGUGGGGUAAAGGCCUACCAAGGCGACGAUCCGUAACUGGUCUGAGAGGAUAAUCAGUCACCCUGGAACGGAGACACGGUCCAGACUCCUACGGGAGGCAACAGUGGGGAAUUUUGGACAAAGGGCGAAGGCCUGAACCAGCCAUGCCGCGUGUGGGAGGAAGGUCUUCGGAUUGUAAAGCACUUUAAGUUGGGAGGAAGGGCAGUAAGUUAAUACCUUCCUGUUUUGACGUUACCAACAGAAUAAGCACCGGCUAACUUCGUC
rnacentral:rRNA from 1 species